AUUGAACGCUGGCGGCAUGCCUUACACAUGCAAGUCGAACGGUAACGGGCCUUCGGGUGCCGACGAGUGGCGAACGGGUGAGUAAUGUAUCGGAACGUACCUUUCAGUGGGGGAUAACGUAGCGAAAGUUACGCUAAUACCGCAUAUUCUGUGAGCAGGAAAGCAAGGGAUCGCAAGACCUUGCGCUGAUUGAGCGGCCGAUGUCAGAUUAGCUAGUUGGUGAGGUAAAGGCUCACCAAGGCGACGAUCUGUAGCGGGUCUGAGAGGAUGAUCCGCCACACUGGAACUGAGACACGGUCCAGACUCCUACGGGAGGCAGCAGUGGGGAAUUUUGGACAAUGGGGGCAACCCUGAUCCAGCCAUGCCGCGUGAGUGAAGAAGGCCUUCGGGUUGUAAAGCUCUUUCGGCCGGGAAGAAAUCGCACGGGCUAAUACCCUGUGUGGAUGACGGUACCGGAAUAAGAAGCACCGGCUAACUACGUGCCAGCAGCCGCAGUAAAAC
rnacentral:rRNA from 1 species